rnacentral:ncRNA from 1 species
CCGCGGGAGAGACCGCCACCGAUCCACGUGAUCGGGGGCCGGCGCCGAAGGAGCAACCGCCCCGGAAACUCUCAGGCAAACGGACCGCGGG